rnacentral:tRNA from 1 species
CGCGGGGUGGAGCAGCUCGGUAGCUCGCUGGGCUCAUAACCCAGAGGUCGCAGGUUAAAAUCCUGUCCCCGCUA